AAGAAGUUAGUUAAUUUUAUAACUUUCGCUUGUCAUGCAAAAAUUAUCCUAUAUUGGAUACUUCUUA
rnacentral:tRNA from 1 species